GAUGAACGCUGGCGGCGUGCCUAAUACAUGCAAGUCGAGCGAACGGACGAGAAGCUUGCUUCUCUGAUGUUAGCGGCGGACGGGUGAGUAACACGUGGAUAACCUACCUAUAAGACUGGGAUAACUUCGGGAAACCGGAGCUAAUACCGGAUGAUAUUUUGAACCGCAUGGUUCAAAAGUGAAAGACGGUCUUGCUGUCACUUAUAGAUGGAUCCGCGCUGCAGUAGCUAGUUGGUAAGGUAACGGCUUACCAAGGCAACGAUGCAUAGCCGACCUGAGAGGGUGAUCGGCCACACUGGAACUGAGACACGGUCCAGACUCCUACGGGAGGCAGCAGUAGGGAAUCUUCCGCAAUGGGCGAAAGCCUGACGGAGCAACGCCGCGUGAGUGAUGAAGGUCUUCGGAUCGUAAAACUCUGUUAUUAGGGAAGAACAUAUGUGUAAGUAACUGUGCACAUCUUGACGGUACCUAAUCAGAAAGCCACGGCUAACUACGUG
rnacentral:rRNA from 1 species